rnacentral:rRNA from 1 species
CCCUUAGAUGUUCUGGGCCGCACGCGCGCUACACUGAUGCAUUCAACGAGUUUCUUCCUGGUCCGAGAGGAAUGGGUAAGCUUUUGAAAGUGCAUCGUGAUAGGGAUAGACUAUUGCAAUUAUUGGUCUUCAACGAGGAAUUCCUAGUAGACGUAGUUCAUCAGACUGCAUCGAUUACGUCCCUGCCCUUUGUACACACCGCCCGUCGCUCCUACCGAUUGAAUGCUCAGGUGAGCCAUUCGGACUUUCAUCAUGCUGGUUUCCAGUUUUGAUGAAGGAAAGUCUUGCGAACCUUAUCAUUUAGAGGAAGGAGAAGUCGUAACA